GAGAAGGCGCAGGAGGAAGAAGAGGAGAAGCAGGAGCAGGGGAAGAAGAGGAGGAGGAGCAGGAGGAGGAGGUGUCAUCUGUGGGCAAUACCUGGAAGGGCAGGGGGUGGUGGGCGUCAGUAAUAGGAACCAGCCCCAGCUACUCCACUGCAGGCUGGUGCCCUGGUGAAGGUGAAUCAGUCAGAGGAGUGCUGACAGCCCAAGGGGCUGCACCAUAUCAUGGUUCCCACUAGCAAUAUAUGAGAGUUCCAGUUGCUCCACAACCUUGCCAACAUAUGACAUGAUAGGGUCUCACUCUGUCACACAGGCUGGAGUGCAGUGGUGUGAUCAUGGCUCAUUGCAGCCCCAAACUCCUAGGCACAAGUCAUCCUCCCACCUCAGCCUUCCAAGUAGCUAAGACUACAGGCAUGUGCCACCAUGCCUGGCUAAUUUUUAAAUUUUUUUUGUAGAGAUGCCCAGGCUGGUCUCAAAUUCCUGGGGUCAAGCGAUCCUCCUGCCUCGGCCUAAAAUGCUGAUAUUAUGGGUGUGAGCCACCAUACCUGGCUGACUGGUGUCUUCAUGAGAGAAAUGAGGGAAUUUGGACACAGAGACAUAGAUGAAGACGACCAUGAGAAGAUGGAGGCGGAGAUGGGAGUUAUGCUGCUACAAGCCAAAGAACAGUUAUGACAAAGACUUCUUUGACCUAAUUCUGAUCACACUCCUCUAAGCCCUCAAGGCCCUGACCUUUGGUCUCUGCAGCUGGCAUACGUAGUCUAGCUCAGCUGGAUCAGUUUAGUGAAGAUCUCCCAUUCUUGAUAUCUCUCUCAAUAUCUUACCCUGGCCUGCCUUCAGCAAGAAUCUGCUGAGUCAGUCUACGAAGACUACCCCUUCAUCUCUGAUGUUUCCUCUCAGUGAUUUUUCCAUUCACCAAUCCCCAACUUGCUCCUUGGCUGUAAAUUCCCACAUUUUCUUGUUGUAUCCUGAGUUGAGUCCAAUCUUUCUUCCCUACGACCAAAUCCCAUUGUAGUAGUUGCCCCGGAAUAAAGUCUGCCUUACCAUCUUUAA